rnacentral:rRNA from 1 species
UACGGGGGGGGGCAAGCGUUGUUCGGAAUUACUGGGCGUAAAGGGGCUCGUAGGCGGUUUUGUCGCGUCGGGGAGUGAAAAACCUACAGCUUAAACUGUGGGCUUGCUUUCGAUACGGGCAGACUAGAGGUAUGCAGGGGGAGACGGAAUUCCUGGUGUAGCGGUGGAAAAUGCGCAGAUAUCAGGAGGAACACCGGUGGCGAAGGCGGUUCUCUGGGCAUGAUCUGACGGUGAGGAGCGAAAGGUGUGGGGAGCGAACAGGG